GUGCUUGCUUCGGCAGCACAUAUACUAAAAUUGAAAUGAUACAUUAAAGAUGAGCAUGGCCCUUGCACAAGGAUGACACACAGAUUUGUGAAGCGUUCCUUGUUUCU
ensembl:snRNA U6 U6 spliceosomal RNA